GGGUUAACGUUAUCAGGGAAAAUUAAUUUUUGCUGUCGUCAUUGGAAUUCAUUUUCCUAUCUUGUUUAAGCAUUUCGACGCGGUUAUAUUUUGUGUCUCUUCAGCUGUGGUUGUGGCUUUGUCUUUGGCCUUCAGGUCAAACACCAUGAGGAUGGGAAGGAGUUGGUGUGGUUAAGUGAAACAACUUGAGUAAUGCUUGAGGUGUUUGCAGCUACGGCGGUUCACAAGCACUUCACGUUCAAGAGACUGAGACACUGCUGCUGUGUGUGACACCAAUAGCAGUAUAUUGACUUCAGGAUUCGUCUUGCUACUCACACAGCGUUC